UGGGCUUAUAAAUGUGACCAUCUGUGACAAGGACGGGGGAGGGGCCCAAUAAUUGUGAAAUUCGUGUGACCUAAUUUAUAUACGGCGCCAUACACUACACUUGAAGAUAGUUUUCAUCCUGGCUCUAGGCCUAGUAAUGCAUAAUCUGUACGUGAAAAAUACUGAAAAACAUGCUUUUCGAUGAGUUCGUUAAUUUUUGUGUUUAAACCAGGGGUGUCAAACUCAAUUUUGCAGAGGGCCAUAUAUUAAAUUUAGAAUACGGGCCAGAUUUAAAUAAUGAAGUGUACACAUUUUAAACCUUCCGUAGAUAGUGUGAAGUCAUGAAUCUUCUUUCUGUGACACAUUACGAGCGCGGGCCGUAUCUUUGACAUCCCUGAUGUACAUGUAUCAUUUAUAACAAAUGUCAUACAUAUACUAGCGCUGUAUAAAAAAUAUGCACAAAUUCGUAAUUUUCAUAAUAUUCAAGAUAGAUGGUAACCGUGUAGGAUAAAUUAAAAUAAUUUGUAAUGAAAAUAAAAUUAACUAAGUUAUUUAACUUAAUAUUUAUGGGCUUGUAUCAAUUGGGCGUCAUAAUUUAUAGGAUUUAAGUUAUAUUUUAGCUGUCAUCGUAUAUAUAUGUUAUUAGAUACUUAUGGAC
rnacentral:misc_RNA from 1 species